rnacentral:rRNA from 1 species
GACGAACGCUGGCGGCGUGCUUAACACAUGCAAGUCGAACGAAGUGGCGAACGGGUGAGUAAAGCGUAAUCAACCUGCCCUUAAGAGGGGGACAACAGUGGGAAACGACUGCUAAUACCGCAUACUGAAGGAGGGGAUUGCGUCUGAUUCGCUGGUUGGAGGGGUAACGGCCCACCAAGGCGAUGAACAGUAGCCGGGUGGAGAGGAGUAACGGCCACAGUUGGACUGAGACACGGCCCAGACUCCUACGGGAGGCAGCAGUGGGGAAUCUUCCGCAAUGGACGAAAGUCUUACGGAGCAACGCCGCGUGAGUGAUGGUGGCCUUCGGGUUGUAAAGCUCUGUUAAUCGGGACGCGGUACCGGAAUAGAAAGCCACGGCUAACUACGUGCCAGCCGCCGCGGUAAUAC